GUGCCAGCCGCCGCGGUAAUACGAAGGGUGCAAGCGUUACUCGGAAUUACUGGGCGUAAAGCGUGCGUAGGUGGUUCGUUAAGUCUGAUGUGAAAGCCCUGGGCUCAACCUGGGAAUGGCAUUGGAUACUGGCGACCUAGAGUGCGGUAGAGGGCAGUGGAAUUCCCGGUGUAGCAGUGAAAUGCGUAGAGAUCGGGAGGAACAUCUGUGGCGAAGGCGACUGCCUGGACCAGCACUGACACUGAGGCACGAAAGCGUGGGGAGCAAACAGGAUUAGAAACCCCCGUAGUCC
rnacentral:rRNA from 1 species